CAGUAGCCGCGGUAACACGAAGGGUGCAAGCGUUACUCGGAAUUACUGGGCGUAAAGCGUGCGUAGGUGGUGGUUUAAGUCCGUUGUGAAAGCCCUGGGCUCAACCUGGGAAUUGCAGUGGAUACUGGGUCACUAGAGUGUGGUAGAGGAUAGUGGAAUUUCCGGUGUAGCAGUGAAAUGCGUAGAGAUCGGAAGGAACAUCUGUGGCGAAGGCGACUAUCUGGGCCAACACUGACACUGAGGCACGAAAGCGUGGGGAGCAAACAGGAUUAGAUACCCGAGUAGUCCCUGUCUCUUAUCC
rnacentral:rRNA from 1 species